UACGUAGGGCGCAAGCGUUGUCCGGAAUUAUUGGGCGUAAAGAGCUCGUAGGCGGCCUGUUGCGUCCGCUGUGAAAUCCCGGGGCUUAACCCCGGGCUUGCAGUGGAUACGGGCAGGCUGGAGGCAGGCAGGGGAGAACGGAAUUCCCGGUGUAGCGGUGAAAUGCGCAGAUAUCGGGAGGAACACCAGUGGCGAAGGCGAUCACCUGGGGUUGUUCUGACGCUGAGGAGCGAAAGCUAGGGGAGCAAACGGG
rnacentral:rRNA from 1 species